ensembl:lncRNA
CUGAAGAAGGAGGCCUUCCGGGUUAUGAUAUCCGGUGGGACUCCAGAGGCAGUUGCAGCGGAGCUGGAGGCGGAGGAGGGAUCAUCGUCAAUUGGCCUGGUGGAGGUCACUGAGGUAGUCAAACAACUCCGCAGUGGCAAAGCCCCGGGGAUUGAUGAGAUCCGUCCAGAGAUGCUAAAAGCAAUGGGUGUUGGGGGGUUGUCUUGGAUGACACGCCUCUUCAACAUUGCGUGGAAGUCUGGGACAGUGCCAAAAGAGUGGCAGAUCGGGGUGGUGGUACCCCUCUUCAAAAAGGGGGACCAGAGAGUGUGUGCCAAUUACAGGGGUAUCACACUACUCAGCCUCCCGGGUAAAGUCUACUCUAAGGUGCUGGAAAGGAGGGUUCGGCCGAGAGUCGAACCAAGGAUUGAAGAAGAACAAUGCGGUUUUCGUCCUGGUCGUGGAACAACGGACCAGCUCUUCACUCUUUCCAGGAUCAUAGAGGGGGCUUGGGAGUAUGCUCAUCCAGUCUACAUGUGUUUUGUGGACUUGGAGAAGGCGUAUGACCGAACUAGGUCACGGGUACAAGCGGCCGAAAUGGGUUUCCUCAGGAGAGUGGCUGGCGUCUCCCUUAGGGAUAGGGUGAGAAGCUCAGCCAUUCGCGAGGAGCUCGGAGUAGAGCCGCUGCUCCUUUGCGUCGAAAGGAGCCAGUUGAGGUGGUUUGGGCAUCUGGUGAGGAUGCCCCCUGGGCGCCUCCCCAGGGAGGUGUUUCAGGCACGGCCAGCUGGGAAGAGGCCCCGGGGAAGACCCAGGACUAGGUGGAGAGAUUAUAUCUCUGCACUGGCCUGGGAACGCCUUGGGAUCCCCCAGUCAGAGCUGGUAGAUGUGGCCCGGGAAAGGGAAGUUUGGGGUCCCCUGCUGGAGCUGUUGCCCCCGCGACCCGACCCCGGAUAAGCGGUUGAAGAUGGAUGGAUGGAUGGACG